rnacentral:rRNA from 1 species
ACGAACGCUGGCGGCGUGCUUAAUACCUGCAAGUCGAACGGAAAGGCCCCUUUGGGGGUACUCGAGUGGCGAACGGGUGAGUAACACGUGAGUAACCUGCCCUUGACUUCGGGAUAACUUCAGGAAACUGGGGCUAAUACAGGAUAGGAAUCCUUGCUGCAUGGUGGGGGUUGGAAAGCUUCGGCGGUUUUGGAUGGACUCGCGGCUUAUCAGCUUGUUGGUGGGGUAGUGGCUUACCAAGGCUUUGACGGGUAGCCGGCCUGAGAGGGCGACCGGCCACAUUGGGACUGAGAUACGGCCCAGACUCCUACGGGAGGCAGCAGUGGGGAAUAUUGCACAAUGGGCGGAAGCCUGAUGCAGCAACGCCGCGUGCGGGAUGACGGCCUUCGGGUUGUAAACCGCUUUCAGCAGGGGCGAAGCUUGUGGUGACGGUACCUGCAGAAGAAGCACCGGCUAACUACGUG